UACGGAGGAUCCAAGCGUUAUCCGGAAUCAUUGGGUUUAAAGGGUCCGUAGGCGGUUUAGUAAGUCAGUGGUGAAAGCCCAUCGCUCAACGGUGGAACGGCCAUUGAUACUGCGUAGACUUGAAUUAUUAGGAAGUAACUAGAAUAUGUAGUGUAGCGGUGAAAUGCUUAGAGAUUACAUGGAAUACCAAUUGCGAAGGCAGGUUACUACUAAUGGAUUGACGCUGAUGGACGAAAGCGUGGGUAGCGAACAGG
rnacentral:rRNA from 1 species